CGAUGAAGAACGCAGCGAAAUGCGAUACUUGGUGUGAAUUGCAGAAUCCCGUGAACCAUCGAGUCUUUGAACGCAAGUUGCGCCUGAAGCCAUUAGGCUAAAGGCACGUCUGCUUGGGCGUCACACAUUAUGACACCCGUACCCACUUAGUUCCCUUUUGGGGGGUAGGCUAGUGCGUGGUUGGACAUUGGCCUCCCGUGACAUUCUUGUGCACGGUUGGUCUAAAAAUCGAGUCCUCAAUCAUGGACAUCACAACUAGUGGUGGUGGCUGAACUAUUGCAAUGUGUUGUGUAUGUCAUGUCAUUGUUGGCUUAUUUCUUUGACCCAGUAGUACCGCGACUAUGGUAUCUUGACUGCGACCCCAGGUCAGUCGG
rnacentral:misc_RNA from 1 species